GGGUCAGUAGGUUGGUCGUGCCACCGGUACGUACUGGUCUCACUGAUUCCUCCUUCCUGAAGAACCGUAAUGCCAUUAAUUUGGUGUUGCGGGGAAACAGGACUGUUACUUUGAAAAAAUUAGAGUGUUUAAAGCAAGCUAACGCUUGAAUACAUUAGCAUGGAGUAAUGAAAUAGGACGAUCGAUCCUAUUUUGUUGGUUUCUAGGAUUGACGUA
rnacentral:rRNA from 1 species